rnacentral:lncRNA from 1 species
CUGCAGGUUCCGCUUAAUAGCUUAUCAGGCUUGAGUGGUCCUGUGUGACGUGCUCCCUGUCUGGCGGCUGAUGCUGUGAAGCGCGCUCAGGCAAGCUCCGAAGUUGUGAUAUGGAUGCAGUGACCUAUGAUGAUGUGCAUGUAAACUUGACUCGAGAAGAAUGGGCUUUGCUGGAUCCUUCACAGAAGCGUCUCUACAAAGAUGUGAUGCUGGAGACCUACAAGAACCUCACUGCUAUAGGUAA